rnacentral:rRNA from 1 species
UACGUAGGUGGCAAGCGUUGUCCGGAAUUAUUGGGCGUAAAGCGCGCGCAGGCGGUUCCUUAAGUCUGAUGUGAAAGCCCACGGCUUAACCGUGGAAGGUCAUUGGAAACUGGGAGACUUGAGUGCAGAAGAGAAGAGCGGAAUUCCACGUGUAGCGGUGAAAUGCGUAGAGAUGUGGAGGAACACCAGUGGCGAAGGCGGCUCUUUGGUCUGUAACUGACGCUGAGGCGCGAAAGCGUGGGGAUCAAACAGG